GGUUGAGCAUUUCGAUGCUUCAAGGAUCACGUUCUCCAAGGGGUGAGGAGAA
rnacentral:ncRNA from 23 species